AUGCACGCUGGCGGCGUGCCUAAUACAUGCAAGUCGAGCGAACAGACGAGGAGCUUGCUCCUCUGACGUUAGCGGCGGACGGGUGAGUAACACGUGGAUAACCUACCUAUAAGACUGGGAUAACUUCGGGAAACCGGAGCUAAUACCGGAUAAUAUAUUGAACCGCAUGGUUCAAUAGUGAAAGACGGUUUUGCUGUCACUUAUAGAUGGAUCCGCGCCGCAUUAGCUAGUUGGUAAGGUAACGGCUUACCAAGGCAACGAUGCGUAGCCGACCUGAGAGGGUGAUCGGCCACACUGGAACUGAGACACGGUCCAGACUCCUACGGGAGGCAGCAGUAGGGAAUCUUCCGCAAUGGGCGAAAGCCUGACGGAGCAACGCCGCGUAAGUGAUGAAGGUCUUCGGAUCGUAAAACUCUGUUAUUAGGGAAGAACAAAUGUGUAAGUAACUAUGCACGUCUUGACGGUACCUAAUCAGAAAGCCACGGCUAACUACGUG
rnacentral:rRNA from 1 species